rnacentral:lncRNA from 1 species
CCAGCCCUCACUGACUCAGUAUCAUGUUCCCCACUCACUGCUGGACCACUGUGUGCUGAGAACAAGCUGACAUGCCUGGAAGGCCGUUGGUAUGUUUUUUCAGCUGUACCAACUACUUUUCUAAAGGGAGUGAGCUUUUCCUCCACACCAUGCUCUGCUAAGCUAUGCCACCUCUGCUGCUGGUGGAGGCAGGUGGCUUGGCAAUGUACAGAAAAACUGAAAAUCUCUGGUGUUUCUCCCAGAUCUCUCAGGGCAGCCUUAGGAGCGCUAGAUGAUACUACAAGACCCUUGAUUAGCAUCUUAAAGACCACAGGUAACAGGCUGAAGAAGUAGG